rnacentral:rRNA from 1 species
GAUGAACGCUGGCGGCGUGCUUAACACAUGCAAGUCGAACGGUGAAGCUCCAGCUUGCUUGAUUGGAUCAGUGGCGAACGGGUGAGUAACACGUGAGCAACCUGCCCCUGACACUGUGAGAAGCCCUGGAAACGGCGUCUAAUACUGGGUACGAGAAGGGUCCGCAUGGGCACUUUCUGGAAAGUUUUUCGGUUGGGGAUGGGCUCGCGGCCUAUCAGCUUGUUGGUGAGGUAAUGGCUCACCAAGGCGACGACGGGUAGCCGGCCUGAGAGGGCGACCGGCCACACUGGGACUGAGACACGGCCCAGACUCCUACGGGAGGCAGCAGUGGGGAAUAUUGCACAAUGGGCGAAAGCCUGAUGCAGCGACGCCGCGUGAGGGAUGACGGCCUUCGGGUUGUAAACCUCUUUCAGCAGGGAAGAAGCGAAAGUGACGGUACCUGCAGAAGAAGCACCGGCUAACUCCGU